GACGAAGGGGGCUAGCGUUGUUCGGAAUUACUGGGCGUAAAGCGCGUGUAGGCGGUUGUUCAAGUCGGGUGUGAAAGCCCCGGGCUCAACCUGGGAAUUGCAUUCGAGCCUGCUCUGCUAGGGUGCGGAAGAGGGAAGCGGAAUUUCCGGUGUAGCGGUGAAAUGCGUAGAUAUCGGAAGGAACACCAGUGGCGAAAGCGGCUUCCUGGUCCAGCACCGACGUUCAGGCACGAAAGCGUGGGGAGCAAACAGG
rnacentral:rRNA from 1 species